UACGGAGGGUGCGAGCGUUGUCCGGAAUUACUGGGCGUAAAGCGCACGUAGGCGGCUUUGUAAGUUAGAGGUGAAAGCCCAGGGCUUAACCCUGGAAUUGCCUUUAAGACUGCAUCGCUAGAAUCGUGGAGAGGUAAGUGGAAUUCCGAGUGUAGAGGUGAAAUUCGUAGAUAUUCGGAAGAACACCAGUGGCGAAGGCGACUUACUGGACACGUAUUGACGCUGAGGUGCGAAAGCGUGGGGAGCAAACAGG
rnacentral:rRNA from 1 species